CGGGUGUAGUUCAUUGGUAGAACACCAGCCUUCCAAGCUGGAUAGGUGGGUUCGAUUCCCAUCACCC
rnacentral:tRNA from 2 species